GCCUGCGUUCGGUGGCUCGUUGCUCGGGUCUUCAAUCUGGCAGCUCUGCUUGAAUAAAAGCAGUGAAUUCGGAACACAGCCGUAAACGCAGCGGUGCAAUGUAUUAAGACGCGCCAACUUCAUUUUUUCUACCGUUUCGCGACGCUUACGAGUCGAUACGUGUUCUUCGCGGCUUUUCUACUCGUCAAAAGUGAAUAUUGUACGCAAAUAAUGAUGUAAUUCGAGAUGAACCAAAAAUAACCGUGCACUGCGGAUACACUUCAUUGAUACGCGUAUAUGUAGUAUUGAUAUGCGUAUAAAGAUAAAAAAGAGUGAUGUUAAGAAUUUUUCAAUAUCUUUUUAUUAUGGA